AGGGGCAUCCACAGGCCAUGUGGUCAGGCCUUGGUCUUCUCUGCCUAUGUCAUGUCAUCUGUCCUUUGGGGAAGGACUCGGGGCAGCCAGCACAGGCAUUGUGUGGAGCUGUGCUGAGUCUGAAAUGCCCUUCACGGCCAGCUGGAGGCCAUCCUGGCUUGAAUUGAGUCUGCAGUGACUAAGCCACGCUGCCCAGUAGAGCCAGUGCCCACAGGGAUCAAGCCAUGGGUUAUGGAUCCCGGGAAAAUGUACACAGAGCAGCUGUAAGGAAAGCGGUUCGACUGUAGUGGACAUCUCCUGGUAGAGGCCGUGGUUUGCUGACGUCUCAUGUUAAACCAAAGUGAUGAGCUUUGCAUCCGUUGGUUUGGAAAAAGGAACCUGGCUCCACGCAGAGCCGGAAGAGGUCUACAGAUACUAUUUGGAGAGUAUCCAAGGGACAAAAGGUUUAUGAUCCUCAACUUGGCUCUCAAGCACACAGCAGGUGUGGAAGAAUUAUCAACUUGCUGGAUAAUGAAGGAGGCAGAAAACAGACAGAACUCGUUCCAGAGGUACGCGUGGAAAUACCACUGGAGACCACUCUUCUCCCCAAGUGGUCCCUGAGCUGCAUUCGAUCUUCAAGGAGAAUCAGGGAUUCCUGUUAAAAACUGCUAUUGGAAGCUAAGGGCAGGCAUGCAAAAGGCUGUGUCCAAAAUCUAGCUUGAUAAGUUAAUUUGGUCACGUUCUUAGGGUAAGCCAGCCAAGCCACCCCCAUCAUCACCCCGCAGAGCACAGAACUCUCAUCUCCAGGCAGGGAAGACGGAGAGCCUGACUCCCAUCUCUUCCAAGCCUGCUUAUCCUCCGCCCUGGAUGGAGCAUGCUACCCAGGUCUGGCUCUAAGAGAAAGGUGGCUACAGUAUCCUGGUGUCCUUCAGAGGCAGAAUGUCCCUUGUCACCUCCUGACUCCUACAAUUUAUAAAAUGAAGGAAACAGGAAUGAUAUUAUGAUCAUGGGGACUCAGUAGACGCAGAUCCGCCCAGUAAUAGAACCUGCCCACCAACCUUCUUGGUCCUUGAACAGUCAGCCUUUACCAUCGGGGAGUGUGACAGGCAACUUGGAUAUAAUCGUGGUUUGAGCUAGACCUGGCACCUGUCCCUUCUUCCUGCUGCAGGAAGUUAUGGCCACUACCUAGUUCUUACAGACUGGAAGGGAUGGGAGCUGCGGACUGAAGGCUGAGCCACAGGCUCACCCAACUCCUCUACUAUGAGCCAGAUGCUCACAGCCUCCAGCACUACUGAGAACUGUCCCUAAAAAUGGGAGAGGAGCAAGACAUGAAGGACUGGGUCAGGAUGACCAUGUGGGAUUGGCAACCUUGAAAAGAUACUGAGAAAUCAGUUCCCUAUUUCCCGGAGUCACUGUGCUUGGCUUUUCUCUGUUACUGAGCAAGGUUUGUCAGAGGGGCUUUGAUAUCAGGGACAUGCUGGAGAGGCUACACGAUGGAUCUUGGCGACCUUGACUUCCCCAGGGCUCCCACUCACACGUUACCUCCGACAGCCAGUGCCCUGGUACUGCCUCCCUCGCUGGCUGGCUCAGGAGGGCACCUCAGCCUGCCCUUGGCCACCUGCCAGCCCUACCACGUGCUAUCCUGACUCAGCAAGGCUGGCAUUAGGCCAUCCUGGACAGUGUGUGUGUGUGUGUGUGUGUGUGUGUGUGUGUGUGUGUGUGUGUGUGUGAGGGGGGGGGCGGUUAUGUUUGUCUGCCAGGGCUGCAAAAUCAAGAGCUGAAUCCUGACUAAGGAGGUCACAGAUUUUGGCUUCUUGCUUCUGUCUCUGACCUUGGAUAAACUAACAGAGGGGCUGCAAGUUCAAGAGCAGUUGGCACCUCUGACGCUUCAGGAUAUUAUAUAAGGAAAGAGAGUGGCAUUAACCAAGGAGGAGGACAAUAGUAAAGAUUUACAUUUGUUUGACACUGUGGGUUUGGCCUUUAUAUCUUGAGGGAGUGGUCUCUAGGAUCAGAUGUGUUUGUGCUGAAAAAACUGUGGGAGUCUCUGUACUGCUAUAGAGCCCUGCCAGGCAAGAAGGCUGCUGGCUGCUCUCUCUGGCUUCCCUGAGAAUAAACAGGUACCUGGCCAUAGCCGAACUGGAAUGUUGGCAGAAGGUGUUCUUGCCCAGUUCUAUAUCUGCUUUUCCCACCAUGCAUUGUGGGGGUCUAAGAAGGUGCUUUCUCUGUAAACAUGGCAAUGGAACAGGUGUGUGUGUGUGUGUGUGUGUGUGUCCCAGAUGUCUGGUCAGCAGCUUCCUACCUCAGGGCAGCUAUGUCCUAUUUUGUGUUUGAGCAUGCCUUGACUCUUGUCUUGGCUCUGGGCCUGGCAUGGGUCCUGUGUCUUGCCUGUGGUCUGGCCCAUUUGCCAGAAGCCCUGUGCUAGCACAUCAGCGGUUCCUAUUGGUUACAGUGCCCAAGGCAUCCUUUGUGUGCAAUUGCUCCAUUGCACAGGUGUAAAGCGAGGCUGGUUUCUAUCCUCCUUCUUCUGUCCUAUGGGCUCCAGUACUUCUCAGCAGCUGUGCCUCUCUGUUUACCAGUUUUCACAAAGGUAAGAGCUCGGCAUCCCCAGUGGUGACUCCUGUUGUUGCUGUUUUCAGAACCGUCACGAACUCAUGAGGUUUGCAGCACUGGGAAUGUCUCUACUCACUGUAGACAUUCUCCUGCUUCCCUUACUGAUGGGAAGAAGGUCAUUACAUGCUUUGGCCAAUGAGAGCCUUCACUGUAAUUUGGUCUAUGUCCUGCAUCGGGUUUAAUAGGCGAUUCUUAUGUGUAGUGAUGCUUUUAUGACUGGGGGUUUUGAGGGUAAAACUCCAGGAAUGAGUGGUCAUGGAAACUAGUUUUCCCACAACAGUAAUGCUUCUUAAACAAACAAACAAAAAAAACAAACUCCCCAGGCAUAGAACACAGAUGCUUGCCCCCACAUCACUACCUGGGCUUCUAAGCUAUGUCUGUGCACAUCUGAGGUGUCAUUCUUGUCCCCAGGCUUGGGCCUGCCCUCUGCAGACCAGGGGACGGGUGUGCUGACAUUUCUCCAUGUACACACUUGGAUGGAAGGGAAUAUAAACACGUGUGCCCCUCCUGGGGUUAUUAGAUUGUUGAAACAACGAUCCCAUGAAGUUAGAAUUAUUCCAGGAAUCUCACAAUGGGACAAGGGGAAGGAGGAAGCCUGUGUUUAGCUAGAGGAGGAAUUUGUCUCUCAGAAGACAUUUCAAACAAUUCUCAGAGCACCUGUGGGCACAUCUAGAGCCCAGACAUUGAUGCAAAGGAUGGGGUGGACCACACCCUCACCAGGAUUUAAACCUCCCCUUAUUGAAACCUGAACUUCACUACAGAUUGCUCAAGAUGGACUUGGGAACGGGCUUUGGGGCUAGCAGGACACUGAAUUCUUCAUUUACUCCUCUUCCCAAGGGGGCCACAUUAAACAACUCUCUUUUCUCUGCAUCUCACCACUACUUGUCUGUCUCAUCGGUGUAGCGAGGAUGCGAGGCUGAGUUUAGCUUGUUGGGCUUCCAGGGUCCGUUCUCUGAGGCUAUCAAUGCCCAUACGAAUUUUGGUGAGCCAGCUGGGAGAGGGGUCACAUUUUGGGUGUCAGUCACUUGUAGCAAGUUGACCCGAAUAGACAGAAAAGACGGAAAGUUCCCACAGUGGUGAGAUCUUUCAUUCUACCACCCAGCCAACGCCUGGCGAGGCAGGGGUGGGGUCACGGGCUGGGUCUCAGACCCAUCUGGUCUUGGUGAGUCUCUGUGGUGGGCGGGGCACUCUGAGCACUUCAUCCUUUUAGUGCAGGACUCUGUUGAGCUGCUGUUCACUUUGAGUCAAUUUGACGACUGUCAUUUGGCGACUGUCUUUGUCUUUUGUUUUAUUCUGAGCCACUGGGGUUCUGUUGAACUAUGAGGGCAUUGCAAUGUUCACAUGACUGACUUUAUCAAUUUGCAAGAUUUUUGAAGUAAUUUGGAGUUAGGUUGAACUAUUUGGUCACCUUGCAUGGCAGGGAAAGUUAAAUGGUGUUGGUCUUUUGGGGCCCACGCUGAGCCACAGGGGUUUUGUUGAGCCUUUGAGACAGGAAACCAAGCUGAGGGAACCUCUGUGGUGACUUGUGUGGCCGUGGAUAACAUGAAGUCGGGGAUGCUUUGGUGAUCCCUAGGGGACAGCUAGUUGAUGAGGCUUUUAUGAACGUGUGAUGGUUUAAUGUGACUGUUUUGUGUCAUUUUGUUUCUAAAAGAGCAUGGGGAAAAAAACCCUUCAAUCUAUCCCUCAUUUUCCUGAAAGUAACUAAAUAACGGACCUCUGAUAACAACAUCAUUUAAAAUUUCUCUGAACUUAGUACAAGGCAAAAGCACCAUUACUGCAAAUAUAAUUUAAAAUGAAUUAUUUAUGCAUGAGUAUAAGUGUUUGGGAGACAGUU